UACGUAGGGGGCAAGCAUUGUUCGGAAUUACUGGGCGUAAAGGGCGCGUAGGCGGCACAGCAAGUCGGGAGUGAAAGCCCGGGGCUCAACCCCGGAAUGGCUUUCGAAACUGCUGAGCUAGAGUACAGAAGGGGCAACCGGAAUUCCCAGUGUAGCGGUGAAAUGCGUAGAUAUUGGGAAGAACACCUGAGGCGAAGGCGGGUUGCUGGGCUGAUACUGACGCUGAGGCGCGAAAGCCAGGGGAGCAAACGGG
rnacentral:rRNA from 1 species